rnacentral:lncRNA from 8 species
CAGAGAAUCAUUCUGUGAGUUACGUCUAGAGGACGUCCAGGUAUGUUGUUGGGCAGUGCCAGUUUAAAAAGUUAGUGCAGUGUGUUAUGAAACAGAUGUAUACUCACCAGGGACCCUUUUUGAGAGGACAGGUAGGGUUAGACAAGUAGGUAGGUGGCGGUCUCUGUUCUUUUACAAGGACUUCUGAAUCCUCACUGACAUGCUGUCUGCAUGAACAAGGAUGAGUGACUGGAUGACAUGACGGCCUCCAUGAACAAUUCAACCACCCAAUUCUCCAACAUGAAGUUGGACCUACCUCAUUACCUCCUCAUCGGGGUGUGUCUGCUCAUCAUCCUGGUUUUCAUAGUGCUGGGGACUCUGUGGCUGAAAAAGUAAGACGGCUCACCUCAAUGUGUUUGUGAGAAAUGGUCUGUAUUCUACUUUUCGAUUAAACAUUGCGGUUUGAAGUUACGUGAGCCUGUGUCAGCUACUACUGUAGGGACGCUGAGCAAAGGAAAGCUGUGUAGACUUAGACUAUAGAUACUGUAUAAGAGGAGAUUCAGAAGGGGCCAAGCACUGCGUCUCCCAACAACUGCAAAUUAACAACCUUCAGCAAUUUUGGAAUUAAAUUAAUAAGCGGAUCCAAAAAAGAGUUACAAAAAAAUUGAAAUCAUACUGGAAAAUGGUGAACUUGAUCAUCAGAGGAAUUGUGUAAUGGAUAACUGGAAGAAUGGUUUUGCUAACCUAUUUUCAGGCAAUAAUAUACCAUCUUGUGUUUGAUGAUGACUUAAAUUAUACUUAUAACUUAUAGAAUCGGUUGGAAAUUGAGAUGAAAUAGGGCUGGAUAAACCUCAAACUCAUUCCCGACUGAAACAUUUACUAUGGAGGAAGUUGGGGAAGGCUUUUGAAAAAGGCAAUAACAAGAAGAAAAACGACAGGAAUUGAGGAGCUUCCAAAAACGGUCUGAAAAUCUCCUAGGUUACUGCAGAUUCUAUUAUGUCCUUUUUCAAAUGUGUUUUGAAAAUGGUACCAUCCCUUCAACUUGGUACAGAUCAAUCAUUCUAGCGUUCCAAUAAACUACAGGUC